rnacentral:rRNA from 1 species
GACGAACGCUGGCGGCGCGCUUAACACAUGCAAGUCGAGCGAGAACCAGUCCUUCGGGACUGGGGACAGCGGCGAACGGGUGAGUAACACGUGGGUAAUCGACCCUUGGUACCGGGAUAG